AAAGUGGUAGCAAUACCAUGAGUAAAGUGGCGCACGGGUGAGUAACACGUGACUAACCUACCCUGGAGUGGGGGAUAACUGAGGGAAACCUUAGCUAAUACCGCAUAAUACCUACGGGUCAAAGGAGCAAUUCGCUUCAGGAGGGGGUCGCGGCCGAUUAGUUAGUUGGCGGGGUAAUGGCCCACCAAGACGAUGAUCGGUAUCCGGCCUGAGAGGGCGCACGGACACACUGGAACUGAAACACGGUCCAGACUCCUACGGGAGGCAGCAGUGGGGAAUUUUGCGCAAUGGGGGAAACCCUGACGCAGCAACGCCGCGUGGAGGAUGAAGUCCUUCGGGACGUAAACUCCUUUCGAUCGGGACGAUUAUGACGGUACCGAGAGAAGAAGCCCCGGCUAACUUCGUGCCAGCAGCCGCGGUAAUACGAGGGGGGCGAGCGUUGUUCGGAAUUAUUGGGCGUAAAGGGUGCGUAGGCGGUUUGGUAAGUCUUAUGUGAAAUCUACAGGCUCAACUUGUAGUCUGCAUGAGAAACUGCCGGGCUUGAGUAUGGGAGAGGUGAGUGGAAUUCCUGGUGUAGCGGUGAAAUGCGUAGAUAUCAGGAGGAACACCUGUGGCGAAAGCGGCUCACUGGACCAUAACUGACGCUGAUGCACGAAAGCUAGGGGAGCAAACAGGAUUAGAUACCCUGGUAGUCCUAGCCCUAAACGAUGACUGCUUGGUGUGACGGGUACCCAAUCCCGCCGUGCCGUAGCUAACGCGUUAAGCAGUCCGCCUGGGGAGUACGGUCGCAAGGCUGAAACUC
rnacentral:rRNA from 1 species